GACGAACGCUGGCGGCGUGCUUAACACAUGCAAGUCGAACGGAAAGGCCCUGCUUUUGUGGGGUUCUCGAGUGGCGAACGGGUGAGUAACACGUGAGUAACCUGCCCUUGACUUUGGGAUAACUUCACGAAACUGGGGCUAAUACCGGAUAGGAGCUCCUGCUGCAUGGUGGUGGUUGGAAAGUUUCGGCGGUUGUGGAUGGACUCGCGGCUUAUCCGCUUGUUGGUGGGGUAGUGGCUUACCAAGGCUUUGACGGGUAGCCGGCCUGAGAGGGUGACCGGCCACAUUGGGACUGAGGUACGGCCCAGACUCCUACGGGAGGCAGCAGUGGGGAAUAUUGCACAAUGGGCGGAAGCCUGAUGCAGCAACGCCGCGUGCGGGAUGACGGCCUUCGGGUUGUAAACCGCUUUCGCCUGUGACGAAGCGUGAGUGACGGUAAUGGGUAAAGAAGCACCGGCUAACUACGUG
rnacentral:rRNA from 1 species